AACGAACGCUGGCGGCAUGCCUGACACAUGCAAGUCGAACGAAGCCUUCGGGCUUAGUGGCGCACGGGUGCGUAACGCGUGGGAAUCUGCCCUUAGGUACGGAAUAACUCAGGGAAACUUGUGCUAAUACCGUAUGAUGUCGAAAGACCAAAGAUUUAUCGCCUAGGGAUGAGCCCGCGUUGGAUUAGCUAGUUGGUGAGGUAAAGGCUCACCAAGGCGACGAUCCAUAGCUGGUCUGAGAGGAUGAUCAGCCACACUGGGACUGGGACACGGCCCAGACUCCUACGGGAGGCAGCAGUGGGGAAUAUUGGACAAUGGGCGAAAGCCUGAUCCAGCAAUGCCGCGUGAGUGAAGAAGGCCUUCGGGUUGUAAAGCUCUUUUACCCGGGAAGAUAAUGACUGUACCGGGAGAAUAAGCCCCGGCUAACUCCGUGCCAGCAGCCGCCGUAACAC
rnacentral:rRNA from 1 species